rnacentral:tRNA from 1 species
AGGGUAAUAGCUCAAGUGGUAGAGUGCAUGUUUGGUAUGCACAAGGUCCUGGGUUCAAUCCCCAGUACCUCCU